UGACUGUAGUAGAUAUGAAUUCGUGUAUUAAUACAAUGAUUAAACAAAUUUCCGAGUUUGGUGAACUGGACAAAAGUUCUAAGCCUGAAAAUAAUGAAUAGAAUAUUUAUUAGUAAUACCUCUUAUAAGCGUUAAAACUAUAUUGAUAUUUGCAGCCGUAGCUGGUGUACGAAAAUGAGAUUCUUUUUCAUGUGAUGGUAAACAAAAAUUCCGAUCCCAAAUACGUAGACCAGUAGAAGAAUGUAAAUUGUCCAGAAGAAUACUGAAAAAUACGCAACAAAAAAGAUAUCUCUUAAAGUUAUAAAGAAUAAGUCUCGAAACACUAAGGAGAGUGAAUCAAAUUAUUUUCCAUUAAACAUGUUCUUCUUUAAACAUUAAUGAUUUAUAAUUUAGAGUUCAAAUUAGUCGAAAUAAAACACCACAUUAAAAGAUAAAGCCUUGAAA